AAUUAUUGGGCGUAAAGAGCUCGUAGGCGGUUUGUCGCGUCUGCUGUGAAACUGGGGGCUCAACCCCCAGCCUGCAGUGGGUACGGGCAGACUAGAGUGCGGUAGGGGAGAUUGGAAUUCCUGGUGUAGCGGUGGAAUGCGCAGAUAUCAGGAGGAACACCGAUGGCGAAGGCAGAUCUCUGGGCCGAACUGACGCUGAGGAGCGAAAGGGUGGGGAGCAAACAGGCUUAGAUACCCUGGUAGUCCACCCCGUAAACGUUGGGAACUAGUUGUGGGGCCGUGACGCAGCUAACGCAUUAAGUUCCCCGCCUGGGGAGUACGGCCGCAAGGCUAAAACUCAAAGGAAUUGACGGGGACCCACACAAGCGGCGGAGCAUGCGGAUUAAUUCGAUGCAACGCGAAGAACCUUACCAAGGCUUGACAUACAGGUGGUGCAUGGUUGUCGUCAGCUCGUGUCGUGAGAUGUUGGGUUAAGUCCCGCAACGAGCGCAACCCUCGUUCUAUGUUGCAACUCAUGGGAUACUGCCGGGGUCAACUCGGAGGAAGGUGGGGAUGACGUCAAAUCAUCAUGCCCUUAUGUCUUGGGCUUCACGCAUGCUACAAUGGCCGGUACAAAGGGCUGCAAUACCGUAAGGUGGAGCGAAUCCCAAAAAGCCGGUCCCAGUUCGGAUUGAGGUCUGCAGCUCGACCUCAUGAAGUCGGAGUCGCUAGUAAUCGCAGAUCAGCACGCUGCGGUGAAU
rnacentral:rRNA from 1 species